CUUUUGUAGCAGGGUGACUGAAUUCGUUAGUGAGGAUUUCAUUCACCUGUGCUUAAUUUAAGCCCCCGCCCCUUUCUUAGUUGAUAUAAGGGAUGUGUGUUUGUCAUAUGGCAUGCGUCUUGGUAUCGGCCUUGUGACGUCAUCCGUGGUUGCCGCAGGCUUGGACUGUAAGCUGGCUUCCUCGUCUGCUGUGUGUUGGCUGCCCACGCCACACAGCAUGUCAUUGACAGCAUGGUGUUCAUUACUGAACUGUUGCACUGCAAGAUGAUGCGCGACUGCAAAGCGGUUUGUGCGGCGGGAUCAUUCUGCGGACUUCCCUGCAUAACUGAGAGCCUUUGGGCUAUUCGCGAGAGCGUACCAAUGAUGAACUGUGAUCGUGUAUAAUUGCGACUGCGUCGCUGUUUUGCCUCGACGUUUAUCCCCAUGGCAACCGUUGUGACUCUACUAUACGUGGCUACUGGGUAUUGUGUCUACUAUUCCUCUGACUGUGCAAACUGGUUGGGCGUUUCAUCUGGCCCCAGUUUAUUCACUUCCACUGGUCUGAAGCACCUCAUAUGUAUGUUUAUUUGGUUUAAUUUAAUGUUAAUGUCAAUGUGUUUUUGUGGUAUUGGGUCUUAUUUAUGUGAUGUGGUUAGACCCUUGGAUUAUUUGACAUGUGUUAUUAUUUUGGAUUGUAUUUUUGUUUUGUGUGUUUUCAAUUUUUGUCUGGUUACAGGAGCUAGGGGGUUUGUGGAGGAUGCAAGCAACGUCGCCAUUUGUGUGGUGUAUUCACACUUAGUGCUGUGUGUCUUCUGACAUUUUAACCCUUCACGUGUGUGUGUGGGUAUUUGUAGUGGAUUAUUUUGGCGAAUAGGUUUCCAAAUUUGGCAGCUGGCCUGGACCUCCAGAUACCUCUGCUCUUGAGAUCUUAAAAUUGAGAAAUGUUUGUGUGUCUUGAGUAGCUUCUUCUUGAUCAUGUGUAAAAUGCCAGUCUAAGUUUUAAAGUGAAAUUUCCAACUAUUUAUAGAAUAUUGACCAAUAAAACUUUCCUACUUUUGCUAUACCUGCCUCAUGUCCUCUCACCCACCCACUCAGAACGAACCUGUGUGCCCUUAGGGCUAUUUCCCUGGGUUUCCAGGGUGGCGUAGUCGAUCAUAUAUUGUCAUCUGGUAACAGUGUGGUAAAUCUUAAUCAAUUCUAGUACCCACUCGGUGCCGUACCGCUACAAACUGGCGUAGUCGGCAGGAUUGUUUCUUUUCUUGGGUGUAUUGGGUGAAGACAUGGGUAUGUAUAUUUGGAGAAAGGAAAAGAGAAUGUUUGCAUAAUUCUGUGUUUGUUGGAAUUUUUUUUAUUAUUGAGGCAAAGCAGCGGCGUAGUUGGUGUGAAUCGGGUUUCCCCUGUCAGUUGGGUUCCCUCUAUGAUUGGUGAGUUGAGUGUAUUUAUUAUGGGGGGGGAACACGGGAAGAAAUUCAGUACUGUUUUAUGGGUAAAAAAAAAAAGGGGUACCCGGAUAAUUAUUUUUUAUCGUAUAGCCGUCAAGGCAGAGAACCUUGUGUAUCACUUGUUUCUCGUUGUACAGCCAUCAUGACAAGAGCACUUGUAACCAGUGUUUCUUUUUUUAUUGUAUAGCCGUCAAGGCAGAGAACCUUGUGUAUCACUUGUUUCUCACUGUGUAGCCGUCAUUGAAGAGCACUUGUAAACAGUGUUUCUUUUAUUGUAUAGCCGUCAAGGCAGAGAACCUUGUGUAUCACUUGUUUCUCACUGUGUAGUCAUCAUUGAAGAGCACUUGUAACCAGUGUUUCUUUUAUUGUAUAGCCGUCAAGGCAGAGAACCUUGUGCAUCACUUGUUUCUCGCUGUGUAGUCAUCAUCGUUCGUUUCUCGUUGUAUAGCCAUCAUUGAAGAGCACUUGUUACCAGUGUUUCUUUUAUUGUAUAGCCGUCAAGGCAGAGAACCUUGUGUAUCACUUGUUUCUCAUUGUAUAGCCGUCAAGGCAGAGAACCUUGUGUAUCACUUGUUUCUCGCUGGGUGGCUGUUGUGGCCAGAAGACCUGUAAUAAGGGUCUUCCUCAGUGUUCGUUGGGUCCCACAAUAGAAGUGAGUCUCUUGGGGCUGGGAACUAAUCGUCGGGUCGACGAUUCAUAAUGUGGGGGUGGAAUGUAGCAGGGUGACUGAAUUCGUUAGUGAGGAUUUCAUUCACCUGUGCUUAAUUUAAGCCCCCGCCCCUUUCUUAGUUGAUAUAAGGGAUGUGUGUUUGUCAUAUGGCAUGCGUCUUGGUAUCGGCCUUGUGACGUCAUCCGUGGUUGCCGCAGGCUUGGACUGUAAGCUGGCUUCCUCGUCUGCUGUGUGUUGGCUGCCCACGCCACACAGCAUGUCAUUGACAGCAUGGUGUUCAUUACUGAACUGUUGCACUGCAAGAUGAUGCGCGACUGCAAAGCGGUUUGUGCGGCGGGAUCAUUCUGCGGACUUCCCUGCAUAACUGAGAGCCUUUGGGC